UAUUUUUCUGCUAGUUUUAUCAUACUCUUUUUCUAUUAUCUAUAUCUAUACUUGUAUAUCUAUACCUCUAUACCUAUACAUUAUUCCCCAUAAAAUUUGUCACAUGGUAGUUUCUCUUUCACUCGUGCCUUCUCUCCCCUUCUCACUUCCUGAUAAUUUGCCUUCCAACCUUCCAUCUUCACUCGAUGCUUCAUCUUCCCACCCGCCCACUUUCUAAUUAAUGCGCUCACACAGUUUAUUGUAAUAUAAACUAAUCGCUUUCACAAAAAAAAAAAGUAAAAUAAGAUCUCUUUAUUCUCGUUUUUCUUAUACUAUUUGUAUUUAUUAACGUCUCAUGGCAGGUCAAAAAAUUUUAAAAUUUUUAUUUUAUCAAUCUACCAUCUUUUAUGGUGUUAGUCCCCCGCAAUGCGCGGGUAACUUCACUAGUUAUUACUAGAGUUCAAUGAGAAUUUUUUAAAUUUCUAGAGAGCGAAGGGAAGAUUA
rnacentral:lncRNA from 1 species